UUAGUCUUUACAGAAUAAGUAAGGCAUAAACAAAUUUAUAUGUUUUAACUAAGGUACUUUCUGGUAAACAGUGCCUGUACAUUUUAGGAAAUAUUUUAGUCUUUAGAGAAUAAGUAAGGCAAAAACAGGUCCAGGAGUUUACAGAUGCCCUCCCCUCACCACAAGGCCAAGUCUUUUUUUUUUUUUUUUUUUUUUUGAGAUGGAGUCUUGCUCUGUCGUCCAGGUUGGAGUGCAAUGGCGCGAUCUUGGCUCACUGCAAGCUCCACCUCACAGGUUCACACCAUUCUCCUGCCUCAGCCUCCCAAGUAGCUGGGACUGCAGGAGCCUGAGACCACGCCUCACUAAUUUUUUGUAUUUUUUAGUAGAGACUGGGUUUCACUGUGUUGGCCAGGAUGGUCUCCAUUUCCUGACCUAGUGAUCCGCCCGCCUCGGC
rnacentral:lncRNA from 10 species